rnacentral:rRNA from 1 species
UGGUGGAGUGAUUUGUCUGGUUAAUUCCGUUAACGAACGAGACCUUAUCCUGUUAGUUAGUUGCCUUGUUUUGAUAAUUGGUUAACAUUUUAGAGGAAGUUUGGGUGCUUAACCCAACGUGCUUAAGGCAAUAACA